UACGUAGGGGCGAGCGUUGUCCGGAUUUAUUGGGCGUAAAGAGCUCGUAGGCGGCUUGGCAAGUCGGGUGUGAAACCUCCAGGCUCAACCUGGAGACGCCACUCGAUACUGCUAUGGCUAGAGUCCGGUAGGGGACCACGGAAUUCCUGGUGUAGCGGUGAAAUGCGCAGAUAUCAGGAGGAACACCGGUGGCGAAGGCGGUGGUCUGGGCCGGCACUGACGCUGAGGAGCGAAAGCGUGGGGAGCAAACAGG
rnacentral:rRNA from 1 species